rnacentral:lncRNA from 1 species
ACAGGUGCUAACCCAAGCAUUUCAUGUGCACACGCACCUGGAAUUUUUGUAUAAAAACAAAUUGAAGUAACAGUUCUUAAUGGGGCCACAGAGGACUUCAUCCAGCCGUUGGCAUUGAAGCCUAGACAUGCUGGCAACUUUGCACAGUCGGUAGCAGCUGCUGCAGCGGAACCAGAGUUGCUGAGGUCAUCCUUAUCGUGGUCGGUAUCCGGAAGUGCAAUGUAGCCAUAAAAACUUGGACAUGCUGUGGAAUCAGGAAAGGGAAGUGCCAAACAUUGUGUAUGACUCAUUAAGCUACCAAAAGGCAUUGAUGCUGGGAGUUUCUGCAAGGUGCAAUAAGUUGUACUUAUGCAUGAACUACUUACCUUGCAAUGUACACAUCCACACUUGCUAUUUAAAUUUAUUUACUAUUCUGGCCCUGUUCACUGCUGUAGCGGGAACAGGAACAGGAAAGGGCCUGCACAAGCUACGUCAUAUGCAUGUCACACUGCGGCACUACUUGGAAACAUAUUUAUUCUGUUACUUAAAAGCUUUUGAGUAGCACUCUUAAGAGUGCCAGCAUAUAACACGUUCUCCUGGUGCUGCUCAACACAACUUUAGUAAGUACACACAUUAUUAGUUCAGUCUGAGUGCUGGGGUGCAUGGUCCUGGACGUUCGCUACAGUGAAGGUUGUUGGAACAUGUAAUAUCUGGUGAUAACAGCGCCUAACCAGGUGCCGGUGAGAGUUUGUUAACCUAAACGCAGAUGCAGCUAACCACCAUAUGAGCACUGUUUAGACAUGUUGCAGGCUGACCAUCCAAGAGAGGCCUUUUUGCAACACAGCUGACAUUUGUCACCCAGUAUUGCCACGUGCUGAUGAAUGUGGUUCGUCCAUGUCUAUCUUUAAACGACCUCAAGCAAUGGAAAAUGGAACCAAGAAACCGUAACAGGCUGUCAUCUGGUGUAGAUAAUUAUCUUUAUAAAGGCCUCUCGAGAUGCUGGACUGGUCGAAUGCUUUGUGUGUAUUUGUAGAUUAUAUGCGUGCUGUACUGUGUACAAAAUACUACAUGUAUAAAUGUAUACAUUUGGUGAAAGUAAGACGUACUAAUCUUGUCUGUAUAUCCUGCCAGGAUAUCACUUAACCAGUAUUUUUUCAUUUUAGCCUGUCAAUUUUCCAGUCCGACCGGAGGAAUAGGUUUUUUGUCACGGGAAUAAAUGUGUUCCGAAUCUGUAAGGUGCUGGGGGGGCCUACACGGCCCCCAGGCCUAGGGGCCCUCCGAUGAGUUAUAGUUUAGUUCGUACAAACACAGGGUUCGGGGAAUGCCACAACGCGCCCACACCACAAUCUCUCCAUAGAUGUGUCUCUUGCACGCCAGGAAGCGGGGCGCACACUUGGACGCUUUGACAGGAACCCCGAUUGCAUGGGUGACUGCUCUUGCAGAGCCCAACCAAACACAGACCAGUUAACCCCUACUCAAGCAAUGAUCGAAUAGAGUUCUUCACUAUCGUUCGUUUUGCAUCACAUUGAAAGAUAACACGGCACGACUUUCCAGAUUGCAACAGUCAUGAUGCAUAGCAGCAAUGAACCAGAACCGCCAAACGCAAUCUCUGCGGUUGGUUGCAGCCCCUGCUGUUGAUGCUGCACACUAGUUAGCAGUUCAUCAUGUACCGGCCCCUGCUGCUGGCGGCCUUCCACUUCUCCAAUGCCGCCUCAAAGGGGAACACAUCCUCACAUCCGCCGUAAUGCACUGCACCCAUGUAAACAUAGCUCCGAAGUACAGCUGCCACUUGAGGGGAUGAUUGUCCUUCUUCUCCAGCCAUGCACCGUCACUCUGCCCCUUCACGACCCGCUGCAUCUGUGGUCGUGGCGUCUUUGCACCACGGAGUGUGGGGUUAGGAGUCUUAGCUGCAGUGCCGGGAUCGCUGCUGCCAUCGACCUCAACACCCGUGUUUCCUGGCCCAUCGCGGCUGUCUCCAUAUGAAGAACGUUGGCGUUUGGCCUGCUCGCUGUUGACAAUCGGAGUGGCAUCAUUGCCGUCGGCUGGCUGCAGCAUUGCGUCCACAUUGCCUACAACCUCUACACCAUCUUCAUUAAUGUCGCUAAUGGCUUCAGUGAAGUUUAAUAUCUGCUUUAAUGGCCUGCCACGCUUUGGGAGCUUCGGGUCCGAAUAUUUUAAAGUGUUUGGUCCGGUCAGAAACAGUCCGAUUCCUUGUUGACUUUCGGGCGUGACCUUCCCUACAGUAUCCAUGGCAUUAAAGUACUAAGAUAUAUCAUACAUGUUAACCAUAUAUAUGUUUAACAAGUAUGUCUCCUGUAAGAUUAAUCUUCUAGGGGCUAUAAGGAUAUUCUAGCGGCUUUGGCAUGGACAGUACUGUCCAUUUUCCAGGACUAGUCCUGGACUAGUCUAUUUUUGGCUGGAGGAAUGAACUUGUACGAUCGGAACAUAUGCAUUAUCUAUGCUUAAUUUUCAGGACCGCGAACAAUUUGUAUUCCGAUUUCGGAUAUAUUCCGCAAAACAAACGCUGCACAGUUAACAGUGAUAAGCGAUGCUGCGGUGGCCUGCAUGUGUGCAGUUCUAUCACCAGCUGCAGCUCUACCAGGACACGGGUCCUGUCCUGGUGAAGUAGCACUAUUUAAGAGCUGUAUUCCAGUCAGGUCAGGUCAUCACCGAAGACUUACCUGCAGUAGGCGGUACGGGUGGCGGGCUUUCUGGAGAUGGUGGCCAAAUGGUGCCUGCGAAUCAAAGGGGUUGACAACGACCGCUGGUGACUGUCCAAGAUAAUUCAUGAAAUGCAGCAGCAAAAGAAAUACAACACAGUAUAUAUCUACCAGGGCACUAUGUAGUAGCUAGCUGGCCGCUGGCCCCUGGCCGCUGGAAAGGCCUCUCCAGAUGUUAUAACAUAUUGGUUAAGCCCUUCACGCAUAUAAUUUGGUAGUCAAUAUGUGUGCAGUACUGUACCAGGUACAACACAUUUGGUACCUAUACGUCUGUAAGUUUACAGACUUUAAGAUUGUGGAGUGGCAAAUGCUUUCAGGCCGGUCUAUUAUACCAUGGCACGCGUCUAUUGUGCCAUCUAUAUACCAAUCGAUACAAUAAUUCUACCAAAAAUCCAUUCCUCGGUCCUUUUUGAUAUAUGAUUACCCUAUAUGUAGACCAUGAAACAUUUACCGAUGCGUUUGGUGAUACAGAUUACAGGUGCUAACCCAAGCAUUUCAUGUGCACACGCACCUGGAAUUUUUGUAUAAAAACAAAUUGAAGUAACAGUUCUUAAUGGGGCCACAGAGGACUUCAUCCAGCCGUUGGCAUUGAAGCCUGGACAUGCUGGCAACUUUGCACAGUCGGUAGCAGCUGCUGCAGCGGAACCAGAGUUGCUGAGGUCAUCCUUAUCGUGGUCGGUAUCCGGAAGUGCAAUGUAGCCAUAAAAACUUGGACAUGCUGUGGAAUCAGGAAAGGGAAGUGCCAAACAUUGUGUAUGACUCAUUAAGCUACCAAAAGGCAUUGAUGCUGGG